rnacentral:rRNA from 1 species
AAUCUGGCUCAGGAUGAACGCUAGCUACAGGCUUAACACAUGCAAGUCGAGGGGCAGCAUGACCUAGCAAUAGGUUGAUGGCGACCGGCGCACGGGUGAGUAACACGUAUCCAACCUACCGGUUAUUCCGGGAUAGCCUUUCGAAAGAAAGAUUAAUACCGGAUAGUAUAACGAGAAGGCAUCUUUUUGUUAUUAAAGAAUUUCGAUAACCGAUGGGGAUGCGUUCCAUUAGUUUGUUGGCGGGGUAACGGCCCACCAAGACA